GCCAGACAUGGUGGUGCACACCUGUAAUCCUAGCUACUUGGGAGGCUGAGGCAGGAGAAUCUCAAGUUUGAGACCAGUCUGGGCAAACUACUGAGGCCCUGUCUCAA
rnacentral:sRNA from 1 species